UACGAACCGUACAAACGUUAUUCGGAAUCACUGGGCUUAAAGGGUGCGUAGGCGGCCAUGUAAGUGAGGUGUGAAAUCCCUCGGCUCAACCGAGGAACUGCGCUUCAUACUGCAUGGCUUGAGGGAGACAGGGGGUAAGCGGAACUGAUGGUGGAGCGGUGAAAUGCGUUGAUAUCAUCAGGAACACCGGUGGCGAAAGCGGCUUACUGGGUCUCUUCUGACGCUGAGGUACGAAAGCUAGGGAGCGAACGGG
rnacentral:rRNA from 1 species